rnacentral:snoRNA from 1 species
GUUUGGACUGUUACAUCUCUGGUAUAGAAAAGAGAGAGAAGGAAAGGCUUUUUGAUGGUUUCCAUCUUUAGGUUUGGAUGUCUCUUUCAAGGUGCUCAUCGUUUGCUUGGUCAUCUUUGUUACGUGAUGACUUGGCUCCAUUUGUUCAUCACAG